ACGACCUUACUUGAACAGGAUCUGUUCUAUAGGCUCGUACCUCUGUAUCCUUGAGUUCUAAGGAUACAGGAACUUCAGUAUGGUUGAUGAAACAGGACCGCACGAUCAGAGCGUGAUUAAUGGCUUCCGAUCUAUGAUGUAGACCGUGCAGCUGUAGAUGAUUGUUCUCAGCUUGGCCUUGGCCUGCUAUGAUGAUCGUGCGGUUGUCUGACAGACU